GUUUGCCUACGGGGGGCAGCAGUAGGGAAUUUUCGUCAAUGGGCGCAAGCCUGAACGAGCAAUGCCGCGUGAACGAGGAAGGUCUUCGGAUCGUAAAGUUCUGUUGAAGGGGAAAAAGAGCGGAGAGAGGAAAUGGUCUCCGAUUGAUAUUACCCUUCGAGGAAGUCACGGCUAACUACGUGCCAGCAGCCGCGGUAAUACGUAGGUGGCGAGCGUUAUCCGGAAUGAUUGGGCGUAAAGGGUGCGUAGGCGGCCUGCUAUGGCUGGAGUGAAAGUAACCGGCU
rnacentral:rRNA from 1 species